AGUGUCAACACUCGGAGCACUUGGGUAGCUGUCAGGACCCCAGGGUCCUAGCAGGGCUGGCUGGCAGUGGAGCCUGCACUGUAUCCCUUGCUAUGAGCUUGCCCAGAUGUGGUGGGCCACUUACAUUUCCCACAAGGCCCUGGAGUGAUGCUGUGUCAGGCGCUCUGGGAUACUGCGGGGUGUGAAAUGGCUGCAGCCACCGUCAGCUACAGAACAGUAGUAGUAAACCAUCGGUAGAAGCAACAGUGCUAAGGAUAAAACGUUGGCGUAAGUUUCAUCUCCGUUGUCUUUCGUUUUCCCUCACUGAGUUUAUCAGACAGCUUGGGAUAUAAGGCAGAAACAAAACAAAACAAACAAAAGCCAAAGCAAAACACAACCCCUGGCACCCUACAUGAAUUAAGACUUGAACCAACCGCUGUUGUUGUUUUGUGUGUGUUUACAAAAAGUGGGAAACAGAGAGAUGACAGAGACUUGAAGUGUGAAGAAGCUACACUAGCAACAUUUUAAAAAAACAAAAAGCAAAAAAGACAACCAGAACAGCAAAAAGCAUCGCUUCCCAUUGAAUACAAUUAAAAUAUGCAUGCAUGUAUGUACAGUAUAUGUAUAUACAUGUACAUACAUACAUAUGUGUGUAUAAGCACACUGCCUGGAUGUUAAAUCUCUUCAGGUGCCCCAAGAACUGAACAAACAUCUGCUAGUAAACUCAAAAAAGUUAAAACACAUAAAAUGCUUCUUUUC